GUCUCUGUGUUUAUUUUGCUUUAUAUCAUUCAUGCAAAGUUCACAUUUAAUCACAAUUUAUCUUCCAUCAGAGGUCCUUCAUUAUUUGUUAACAAUUAGACUAUUUUUAUGUAACAGGUUAAUAUAUUUUGUUUUUCCUAUGAAUAUAAAACUAUUAGUGGAAAUACUAUUGGACAUGUUUUUCUAUUAGUGGAAAUAUUUGAGAUUUGAUGAUGAGAAUUUAAGUGAAAGCUUCAUGUUAGAAACUGUCUCUGAGUUUGUUUCACUUUUAUUAAGUUCAUUGUGGUUCUGCUUGAUGACUCUUGUGUUGUGUUCACUGAACCAGUUCUCCUCCUCACAGUCUCUUCACCAACCCUCUGCACCUGCAGCAGGCUGUUUUCACUUCAGUCUGACUGAGGGAGGUUUUUGUACGACUCUAAAUCACUGUGUGAACACUCCACCACCAUGAGCACCAAGACAGUAGUAAUC